AGGGGAAAGAACUCAUUAAUCUAAUGCAAACAUGGCGGCUAUCCGGGGAAGAUCAAGUUUUGUGUUUACAAAAAGAUUGUUUGUUCACUGUUGGUCACUUAAUGUAAGUGGGAAAAACUGAUUGGAUAAAGAUAUUAAACAGUCUUUAUAGUACAUGUGAAAUAGGAGACUCAUCUGAUUGUGGAAGUUUGUGUAGUUGAAAGGAGUUACAUACAGAUGCUGUUUUGAAUCAUAAGAAAUGACUGAUAUUAAUUCAUUUCUUCAGUUCCUCAUUAGCUUCUUCACAAGGAAUAAAUUGUGUAAGGAGUUCUAUAUUCCUAUUUAAAGACCUAACUUUUUUUUCAAUUUGAGUGUAUGAAAGCAAAUUAAUUGAAUUCAUUCUGAAUACUGAGCUUAUAUAGUUUUAUGUACAUGUAUAUGUGACUUUAUCUUUAUUUGACUUUUUAUUUAUAAGUUAUUUAAACAUUAAUAAUUUUAUUCUUUGUAUGAGAAGCUAUAAUCAAUCGACUACUGUAAAUUCAGAAAUUAUUGCGUGCAUUUAUUAUUGCGAUUUUGUCAUUUUAGACUAAAAUGCGAUUUAAAUUUUUGCGACAUUGAGAAAAAUCCUGUUUAAUUCAUAUAAAAAAUUUCAAAAUGCGAGUUUAAAUUAUUGCGAUUAUAACCCUGUCGCAUUUUUCGCAAUAAUAAAAACAUCGCAAUAAUUUCAGAAUUUACAGUAUAUAUUUUUUUCUCGCCUGGGAUGAAAGUCCGGGAAAGUGAGACAUAAGGGUUCCUUUUCUGGCGACGAUGGCUCUUGCAUCAACAAUUGUUAAGUUUUCUGCUUAAGUUAGUAAGUUUGACAGGUAUUACUUGUGAUAGAUCAUUGAUAUUUAAUAUAAAGUUGUAUUACUAUCAGUA